GGUUCAGUGUGCACGCGGAUGCGGCGCGCUUUUUAUUGAUAAGUGUGGAAGGCUUGCAGCAGGCUGUAGGUUGGGCUGCAACAGUGUUUCCUUUGGCAUUUUAUUUUUUUUUAUAAUUUGCAAAAUCGAGCGUAGAAAAAGAACCCUAUUUAUUCACUUGAAGUUGUUUUGUAUGAUUAUUGCAAGACUGGCAACCUGAUAUGCGUUUAUUAUUCCCUAUGAAAUCAUUGUUGUUUUUUUUGCUGCUGCUGUUGUUGAUAUUUCACAUGAAUAAGCAGAGAGAAGGAUUUUCUUUUACUUUGCCUUUAACAGUUUAAUACGCGUAUCGGUGGGAGGGGGAUUAGUCUUAUUCUAACAGUAUCCCCUCUGGAAUAUGGGAAGCACUGUGAUGGAUUCUAAGAAGACGGAUAGCAGGAAGAAAUGGACCAGAAAAAGGACAACGCUUCGGUUAAACAUGCCGGACCUGAGCUUACAUGCCAUGCCCUUUCAGGAGGGAGAUGAUGAGUGCAAUGACAAGGAUAAUACACAUAAGGGGGAGAUCAGCUGCCACUCAGCUAGCCCAACUAAAGGAUUUUUCAGCAGGAGUCCAUUUAGCCGGCCCUCUAGUCCAAUGUCUGCUCCUGCAAAGUCCAAAACCAGCCCAGGUUCACCAAGAACCAUCUUCCCCUACCCCCUACAUCAGGAAUCACCAUCUAAAUCACCUCGCCGCCUCAGCUUUUCUGGAAUCUUUCGCUCAUCCUCUAAGGACUCCUCAUGUGCCUCCCUGUCCAAUUCCUCUUCUUCCUCUCCUGUCAGUAUUAAACUUUUCUCCCGUGCCAGGAAAGCAUCUGUGAUCUCCUCCCCACCCACCACUCCUACACAACUGACCAAACCCUCACCAACAUUUCCUCUGGAAGAAACCCGCAACCUCCCUAUGCGUCAAGAGGAGCGAUUGCGCUCGCUAUCCUCUCCCCCAGACACUGGACAGCACUUCAGCAUGCCCUCAGCCAAGCCACCUCUCACCGCUUCCUCAGCACCCAUUGCUACCUCACGCAUGGUUCGCGGUUUGUCCGAAGGCAUGCUGGAGAAACUCGAUCACGACGAUGAAGUUGUCGAAGAGUCUGAAAGCGAUAUUUACAUGCACUUUAUGAAGUCCCACAAGUGCUAUGACAUUGUUCCCACUAGUUCCAAACUGGUGGUGUUUGACACGACGCUACAAGUUAAGAAGGCCUUUUUUGCUUUGGUGGCUAAUGGAGUUCGAGCAGCGCCUCUGUGGGAGACGAAGAAGCAGAGUUUUGUAGGAAUGCUAACAAUCACAGACUUCAUCAAUAUACUUCACAGAUACUACAAGUCACCAAUGGUGCAGAUCUAUGAGCUGGAGGAACAUAAGAUCGAAACUUGGAGAGAGCUCUAUUUACAAGAAACUUUUAAACCUUUAGUCAACAUAUCACCAGAUGCAAGCAUAUUCGACGCCGUGUAUUCACUAAUCAAGAACAAGAUUCACCGCUUGCCCGUUAUCGACCCCGUCAGUGGGAAUGCACUUUAUAUCCUAACACACAAGAGGAUCCUCAAGUUCCUGCAGCUCUUUGUUUGUGAGAUGCCAAAGCCUGCCUUCAUGAAGAAGAGCCUGGCAGACCUGGGCAUCGGGACGUACAGAAACAUCGCCUUCAUUCAUCCCGACACACCUAUAAUCAAGGCUUUGAGCAUCUUCGUGGAGAGGAGGGUUUCAGCUUUGCCCGUGGUAGACGAGUCUGGAAAGGUUGUAGAUAUUUAUUCCAAAUUUGAUGUCAUUAAUCUUGCUGCUGAAAAGACCUACAAUAACCUGGACAUUAGCGUGACUCAGGCAUUGAUGCAUCGCUCUCAGUACUUUGAGGGCGUCAUGAAGUGCAACAGACUGGAGACCCUGGAGACCAUAGUGGACAGGAUAGUCAAAGCUGAGGUGCACAGGCUGGUGGUGGUAGACGAGGCCGGCUGCAUCGUGGGUAUUGUGUCCCUGUCGGACAUCCUGCAGGCCCUGGUCCUCACUCCAGCAGGUAUAGACGCUCUGCACUGCUAAAGCUCCUCUCUGUUCCCGGACUCCACUCUCUUCCCACCCCAAACACACACACAGGUCUAACCAGGAAGGAGAGUGAGGAAGCUGAGUGAUGUACAUCAGGACUUCUAAAUUCUGUCAUGCUGCUGGAAAAGGAAGCGGGAAGUAGAUUUAAAGCUGGCGUUUGGGAUUUCUAUGUAGCCCAAUGAAAGCUGUGUCAAACAGAGGAAAAGGGUUCAGGGUUGCAAACUGAAUGCUGCUGAAGGCCAGAUGAGGAAUGGGAUUGAUUGGGGAAUGGAUGGAUGGAUGGGCUACAAGGGAGACAAGGUGGACCACCAAGGAUCUCUUCCUCACGGCGAUUCUGCAGAGCACGGUGUCUAAAGCUGUUACUGCACGCUCACCAUCACUACGUAUUAAACAUCGCCAUCUGGUGUCCAUUCUGUGUAUUAAACUCCCUGGUCAACUUUGGACAGUACCAUCAUCAUUCUAAGGGAAUUCCUUGUAGUGACGAGCAAUUUGAUUUUCUUUCAUUUCCAUGUUCUUUGUUCAGAGCACAGCUUUAGCUUGUGGGCUUACUUGCACAUUUCAUACUGUCUGUUCUGUUUAAUUGUUAUAUAUAAUUUUCAUCUUUCUUUUUCAUUUCCCCAUUCCCCCCUUUUUUUUUUAAACUGUGCCUUCUGUCCACUAGUUGUUGCCCAUCAUGGAAGAGAAAGCAAGCAAGAACAGCAAAUGUUCAAUUGAAUCAAAAUGAAUGUCAGUGUGUCUAAAAACCAAAAUGUUUAGAAUAUGUUGUCAGUUUUAAAAGUUUUAAGUUCAUAUUUUCUUGUUUAUUCCUUUUAGGUUUUAUUUCAAUAAGAUGUUUUUGAAAGAUUCUGUAAACGUAGAUUCAAUGUUUUAUUUAUUUGUAUUUUGAUAUUUGUUAACCUUUUUUUUUUUUCUUUCGUAUGUCAAACGGGAUUAAAGGUUUGUUUAGCCCCCUAUGCAUUAAAAUGACGUUCUUGUGACUUGACAUGGAGUGCAAUUUCAGAACGCAGCCGCUGCCUACGUGCAGUUCUUCGUUCUCUCCAGGUAAACCGGAGGCAUGCAACGAAACCCCUCAUACUCUUUAUCAGUUGUACUGUACAUAGGAAGAGCUUGUGAGAUAUCUACAAAGUGCCAGAGAAAGGUCUAUUUUUCUGUGCUUUCAGUGUAUCUUUGUAAUAAUAUGGAUAUUUUAUUUUAUUUUUUAUUUUUUUGCUGGUCCUGUCAUCUUUAUUGUGGCUGUGUUGAUGGUUAAAAGGUCACUAAUGAAAGUAUCAUGUCCACUGAACAAUGUAUAUCACUGGCAUGAAGAUGAUACUACAAUGGUUAAGCAUUGUGGGUUGAUUUUAAUUUUUUCCAUUUUGCAGUUUGGAAAACAAUAAAUCACUACUGAAUCUUUA